UCAGGAUGAACGCUGGCGGCGUGCUUAACACAUGCAAGUCGAACGGAGCUUAAGGGGCUGCUCCUAAACUAGUGGCGGACGGGUGAGUAACGCGUGGGUAACCUGCCUUUCACUGGGGGAUAACAGUUAGAAAUGACUGCUAAUACCGCAUAAGCGCACAGGAUCGCAUGAUCUAGUGUGAAAAACUCCGGUGGUGAAAGAUGGACCCGCGUCUGAUUAGCCAGUUGGCAGGGUAACGGCCUACCAAAGCGACGAUCAGUAGCCGGCCUGAGAGGGUGAACGGCCACAUUGGGACUGAGACACGGCCCAAACUCCUACGGGAGGCAGCAGUGGGGAAUAUUGCACAAUGGGGGAAACCCUGAUGCAAGCGACGCCGCGUGAGUGAAGAAGUAUUUCGGUAUGUAAAGCUCUAUCAGCAGGGAAGAAAAUGACGGUACCUGACUAAGAAGCCCCGGCUAACUACGUGCCAGCAGCAGC
rnacentral:rRNA from 1 species